UACGUAGGGUGCGAGCGUUGUCCGGAAUUAUUGGGCGUAAAGGGCUCGUAGGCGGUUUGUCGCGUCGGGAGUGAAAACACUGGGCUUAACUCAGUGCUUGCUUCCGAUACGGGCAGACUAGAGGUAUUCAGGGGAGAACGGAAUUCCUGGUGUAGCGGUGAAAUGCGCAGAUAUCAGGAGGAACACCGGUGGCGAAGGCGGUUCUCUGGGCCGAUACUGACGCUGAGGAGCGAAAGCGUGGGGAGCGAACAGG
rnacentral:rRNA from 1 species